rnacentral:rRNA from 1 species
CACGUAGGGCGCAAGCGUUGUCCGGAAUUAUUGGGCGUAAAGAGCUCGUAGGUGGUUUGUCGCGUUGUUCGUGAAAACUCACAGCUUAACUGUGGGCGUGCGGGCGAUACGGGCAGACUGGAGUACUGCAGGGGAGACUGGAAUUCCUGGUGUAGCGGUGGAAUGCGCCAGAUAUCAGGAGGAACACCGGUGGCGAAGGCGGGUCUCUGGGCCGAUACUGACGCUGAGGAGCGAAAGCCGUGGGGAGCGAACAGGA